rnacentral:rRNA from 1 species
AUUGAACGCUGGCGGCAGGCCUAACACAUGCAAGUCGAACGAGAGGCGGACGGGUGAGUAAUGUCUGGGAACCUGCCCGAUGGAGGGGGAUAACUACUGGAAACGGCAGCUAAUACCGCAUAACACCGGAUGUGCCCAGAUGGGAUUAGCUAUUAGGGGGGGUAAAGGCUCACCUAGGCGACGAUCCCUAGCUGGUCUGAGAGGAUGACCAGCCACACUGGAACUGAGACACGGUCCAGACUCCUACGUGAGGCAGCAGUGGGGAAUAUUGCACAAUAGGCACAAGCCUGAUGCAGCCAUGCCGCGUGUAUGAAGAAGGCCUUCGGGUUGUAAAGUACUUUCGGCGGGGAGGCGUUACCCGCAGAAGAAGCACCGGCUAACUCCGUGCCAGCCGCCGCGGUAAUUC